AGUCACUGACAUUAGAUACCCCGGUAGUCCAGGGUGUAAACGCUGCAGACUUGGUGUUGGGAACCCUUCGGGGGUGCUCAGUGCCGGAGAGAAGUUGUUAAGUCUGCUACUUGGGGAGUACGUCCGCAAGGAUGAAACUUAAAGGAAUUGGCGGGGGAGCACCGCAACGGGAGGAGUGUGCGGUUUAAUUGGAUUCAACGCCGAAAAACUCACCAGCAGCGACUGUUACAUGAAAGUCAGGUUGAUGACCUUACUAGAUUUUCAG
rnacentral:rRNA from 1 species